CCUACGGGAGGCAGCAGUGGGGAAUUUUGGACAAUGGGCGCAAGCCUGAUCCAGCAAUGCCGCGUGAGUGAAGAAGGCCUUCGGGUUGUAAAGCUCUUUUGUCAGGCAAGAAACGGUGGGGGCUAAUAUCCCCUGCUAAUGACGGUACCUGAAGAAUAAGCACCGGCUAACUACGUGCCAGCAGCCGCGGUAAUACGUAGGGUGCAAGCGUUAAUCGGAAUUACUGGGCGUAAAGCGUGCGCAGGCGGUUUUGUAAGUCUGUCGUGAAAUCCCCGGGCUCAACCUGGGAAUUGCGAUGGAGACUGCGAGGCUAGAAUCUGGCAGAGAGGGGUAGAAUUCCACGUGUAGCAGUGAAAUGCGUAGAUAUGUGGAGGAACACCGAUGGCGAAGGCAGCCCCCUGGGUCAAGAUUGACGCUCAUGCACGAAAGCGUGGGGAGCAAACAGGAUU
rnacentral:rRNA from 1 species